rnacentral:rRNA from 1 species
GUGACUGCGUACCUUUUGUAUAAUGGGUCAGCGACUUAUAUUCUGUAGCAAGGUUAACCGAAUAGGGGAGCCGGAGGGAAACCGAGUCUUAAUUGGGCGUUAAGUUGCAGGGUAUAGACCCGAAACCCGGUGAUCUAGCCAUGGGCAGGUUGAAGGUUGGGUAACACUAACUGGAGGACCGAACCGACUAAUGUUGAAAAAUUAGCGGAUGACCUGUGGCUGGGGGUGAAAGGCCAAUCAAACCGGGAGAUAGCUGGUUCUCCCCGAAAGCUAUUUAGGUAGCGCCUCGUGAAUUCAUCUCCGGGGGUAGAGCACUGUUUCGGCUAGGGGGCCAUCCCGGCUUACCAACCCGAUGCAAACUGCGAAUACCGGAGAAUGUUAUCACGGGAGACACACGGCGGGUGCUAACGUCCGUCGUGAAGAGGGAAACAACCCAGACCGCCAGCUAAGGUCCCAAAGUCAUGGUUAAGUGGGAAACGAUGUGGGAAGGCCCAGACAGCCAGGAUGUUGGCUUAGAAGCAGCCAUCAUUUAAAGAAAGCGUAAUAGCUCACUGGUCGAGUCGGCCUGCGCGGAAGAUGUAACGGGGCUAAACCAUGCACCGAAGCUGCGGCAGCGACGCUUAUGCGUUGUUGGGUAGGGGAGCGUUCUGUAAGCCUGUGAAGGUGGCCUGUGAGGGUUGCUGGAGGUAUCAGAAGUGCGAAUGCUGACAUAAGUAACGAUAAAGCGGGUGAAAAGCCCGCUCGCCGGAAGACCAAGGGUUCCUGUCCAACGUUAAUCGGGGCAGGGUGAGUCGACCCCUAAGGCGAGGCCGAAAGGCGUAGUCGAUGGGAAACGGGUUAAUAUUCCCGUACUUGGUGUUACUGCGAAGGGGGGACGGAGAAGGCUAUGUUGGCCGGGCGACGGUUGUCCCGGUUUAAGCGUGUAGGUGUGUGUUCCAGGUAAAUCCGGUUCACUUUAACACUGAGGCGUGACGACGAGGCACUACGGUGCUGAAGCAACAAAUGCCCUGCUUCCAGGAAAAGCCUCUAAGCAUCAGGUAACAUCAAAUCGUACCCCAAACCGACACAGGUGGUCAGGUAGAGAAUACCAAGGCGCUUGAGAGAACUCGGGUGAAGGAACUAGGCAAAAUGGUGCCGUAACUUCGGGAGAAGGCACGCUGACACGUAGGUGAAGUGAUUUACUCAUGGAGCUGAAGUCAGUCGAAGAUACCAGCUGGCUGCAACUGUUUAUUAAAAACACAGCACUGUGCAAACACGAAAGUGGACGUAUACGGUGUGACGCCUGCCCGGUGCCGGAAGGUUAAUUGAUGGGGUCAGCGCAAGCGAAGCUCCUGAUCGAAGCCCCGGUAAACGGCGGCCGUAACUAUAACGGUCCUAAGGUAGCGAAAUUCCUUGUCGGGUAAGUUCCGACCUGCACGAAUGGCGUAAUGAUGGCCAGGCUGUCUCCACCCGAGACUCAGUGAAAUUGAACUCGCUGUGAAGAUGCAGUGUACCCGCGGCAAGACGGAAAGACCCCGUGAACCUUUACUAUAGCUUGACACUGAACAUUGAGCCUUGAUGUGUAGGAUAGGUGGGAGGCUUUGAAG